rnacentral:ncRNA from 1 species
GUCCUUGCGGGCCGAACCGACGCCGUAUGGCGUACUUGCUUGGCGGACGAUCAAGCUAGGCCCCAGGGACGCCA